AUAAGAGCUUGAACAAAAUUAAUACUAACAUAUUAAACCCAAAACAUUUUAAUAAACAAUACUCAUGUGAAUUAACUAUUCUGUAUUUCAUUCUUCAGACUAAUCCAAUCAUCCAAUCAAAAAUGGUGGAAAAAAACAUUAAAAUAUUAUAUAAGCGAAAAAUUCCGUGGAUUUCCAUUUAAAAUGGUGUAUAGCAGGGAUGGUGAAUCUAUAAUUAUUAGUUAUGGCAUACGCGUCAAUCACGUAUAAUCACACGACUAACCAUCACAGCAAAAUUAUAACAACAAUCAAAAACAUGACGAUCAAGCGGGCAUAAGCUGACUUAAUCAAUUUAAAUUUUGGUUACUUUUAUAAUCUUAUUCACACAGGAAUAGACUUAUUUUUUGUUAUUUAAAUAUUAUAAUUUAUUAAUAAAGGAACAAAGGAUAUGUUUA